rnacentral:rRNA from 1 species
GACGAACGCUGGCGGCGUGCCUAAUACAUGCAAGUCGAGCGGACUUUCAAGAAGCUUGCUUUUUGAAAGUUAGCGGCGGACGGGUGAGUAACACGUGGGCAACCUGCCUGUAAGACGGGGAUAACUCCGGGAAACCGGGGCUAAUACCGGAUAAUAUCUUUCUUCGCAUGAAGGAAGGUUGAAAGGCGGCGCAAGCUGCCGCUUGCAGAUGGGCCCGCGGCGCAUUAGCUAGUUGGUGAGGUAACGGCUCACCAAGGCGACGAUGCGUAGCCGACCUGGGCGGGUGAUCGGCCACACUGGGACUGAGACACGGCCCAGACUCCUACGGGAGGCGGCAGUAGGGAAUCUUCCGCAAUGGACGAAAGUCUGACGGAGCAACGCCGCGUGAGCGAAGAAGGUCUUCGGAUCGUAAAGCUCUGUUGUCAGGGAAGAACAAGUACCGUUCGAAUAGGGCGGUACCUUGACGGUACCUGACCAGAAAGCCACGGCUAACUACGUGCCAGCAGCCGCCGUAA